UACGGGGGGAGCAAGCGUUGUUCGGAUUUACUGGGCGUAAAGGGCGCGUAGGCGGUCAGCACAAGUCAGUUGUGAAAUCUCCGGGCUUAACUCGGAAAGGUCAACUGAUACUGUGCGACUAGAGUGCAGAAGGGGCAACUGGAAUUCUCGGUGUAGCGGUGAAAUGCGUAGAUAUCGAGAGGAACACCUGCGGCGAAGGCGGGUAGCUGGGCCGACACUGACGCUGAGGCACGAAGGUCAGGGGAGCAAACGGG
rnacentral:rRNA from 1 species